GAUGAACGCUGACAGAAUGCUUAACACAUGCAAGUCAACUGUGGCGGACGGGUGAGUAACGCGUAAAGAACUUGCCUCACAGCUAGGGACAACAUUUGGAAACGAAUGCUAAUACCUGAUACUGUGAGAGAGCUUUGCGUCCCAUUAGCUAGUUGGAGAGGUAACGGCUCACCAAGGAGAUGAUGGGUAGCCGGCCUGAGAGGGUGAUCGGCCACAAGGGGACUGAGACACGGGCCUUACUCAAUCGGGAGGCAGCAGUGGGGAAUAUUGGACAACGGACCAAAGUCUGAUGCAGCAAUUCGGUGUGUACGAUAAAGUUUUCGGAAUGUAAAGUGCUUUCCGUUGGGAAGCGGUACCAACAGAAGAAGUGACGGCUAAAUACGUGCCAGCAGCCGCGGUAAUAC
rnacentral:rRNA from 1 species